rnacentral:rRNA from 1 species
GGCUAACUACGUGCCAGCAGCGCGGUAAAACGUAGGGUGUAGCGUGUCCGGAAUUACUGGGUGUAAAGGGAGCGCAGGCGGUCCUUUAAGUUGGAAGUUAAUCUACGGGCUCAACCCGUAUACGCUUUCAAAACUGAAGGACUUGAGUGAAGUAGAGGUGGCGGAAUUUCCGGUGUAGCGGUGGAAUGCGUAGAUAUCGGAAGGAACACCAGUGGCGAAGCGGCCUACUGGGCUUUUACUGACGCUGAGGCUCGAAAGCAUGGGUAGCAAACAGGAUUAAUACCCUGGUAGUCCAUGCUGUAAACGAUGAUUACUAGGUGUGGGCUGGAAACAGUCCGUCCGCAGUUAACACAAUAAGUAAUCCACCUGGGGAGUACGGCCGCAAGGCUGAAACUCAAAGAAUUGACGGGGGCCCGCACAAGCAGUGGAGUAUGUGGUUUAAUUCGAAGCAACGCGAAGACCUUACCAGGUCUUGACAUCGUAUGCAUACCUAAGAGAUUAGGGAAGUCCUUCGGGACAACAGACAGGUGGUGCAUGGUUGUCGUCAGCUCGUGUCGUGAGAUGUUGGGUUAAGUCCCGAACGAGCGCAACCCUUAUGCUUAGUUACUACGCAAGAGGACUCUAGGCAGACUGCCGUUGCAAAACGGAGGAAGGUGGGGAUGACGUCAAAUCAUCAUGCCCCUUAUGACCUGGGCUACAACGUACUACAAUGGCUGUUAACAAAGUGAACCGAAAUCGCGAGAUGGAGGAAAACACAAAAGCAGUCUCAGUUCGGAUUGUAGGCUGCAACUCGCCUACAUGAAGCCGGAAUUGCUAGUAUCGCGGAUCAGCAUGCCGCGGUGAAUACGUUCCCGGGCCUUGCACACACCGCCGUAAGG